UAAUGGGAGCUUAAAGGAGAGGAAUGUGGGGGAGUUAUCAGCCUGUGAAAUAGGUCUAAGACUGCUGAACAAGAGAGGGAAAGAAGGUCUCAGACUAUACAUUUGAAAAUCUACAAAAGUAGAGGUGGGAAGUCACAUGCAUUGAUGCUUCAGAACACAGGAAGAUGAGCUAAUCAUCUGCCAACCUUGAACUGAGAAAUUGUGAUCCCAAUAUAUAAAGUAUAAUUGUGCAAAAUAGUCUUAGGGACUAUUUUAAAUCCCUCUUCAGCUCAUGUACGGGUUGAUUUGUUCACCUAAUAAAUGCAAAUUACCUGUUAGUAUGUGAAAGGGGAAAAUUAUGAAUACAACACAAUUUCCAGACAGUGCA
rnacentral:lncRNA from 1 species